UACGUAGGGUCCGAGCGUUGUCCGGAAUUAUUGGGCGUAAAGGGCUCGUAGGCGGUUUGUCGCGUCGGGAGUGAAGACCUACAGCUUAACUGUGGGCUUGCUUUCGAUACGGGCAGACUUGAGGCAUGCAGGGGAGAACGGAAUUCCUGGUGUAGCGGUGAAAUGCGCAGAUAUCAGGAGGAACACCGGUGGCGAAGGCGGUUCUCUGGGCAUGUUCUGACGCUGAGGAGCGAAAGCUAGGGGAGCAAACAGG
rnacentral:rRNA from 1 species